CCACCUCUCCCUUGUGCUCACAAGAGGAGGUGGAGUAGGAGGCUAUGCCAAUGACAAAAACAGCCCCGGAAACAGCAGCGCUGAACAUUGGAGGAGCUGCUUUGCCUUCAGGGCAUCCCAGGGAGUCUACUUUUUGGUCUAGAUGAUGUCUCCCUGGAUCCUGAAGAAACUCAAGUGAAGGAGAGAGAACCACAAACAGAAGGUGACAUGGUGCCAGAAUUCAGGGGGAAGACUGACCACACCCUGCAGAAUGCUUCAAACCCAAUGGCUUGUUUGUUCUAUCAACCUUUAAUCCUAUGAAUGAAGAACGCUGAGAUGGGAGAUGCAUUGCCUUCUUCCAGGAAGAAAACAACUUCGUUUUUUGUGAGCCUUUCGUACAUGAUGUCAUGAAGGCUUCUUUCUCAGGAAGCACAAGGAGGGGGAUGGCCAGCCCUGUGGGUGUUCCCUGCCAAGGUCUGAAUCUGAUCAUUUAUCUGACUAGCUGAGCAAUCAAAUAAAAUGCAAUUUCAAGC